rnacentral:rRNA from 1 species
UACGUAGGGUGCAAGCGUUGUCCGGAUUUAUUGGGCGUAAAGAGCUCGUAGGCGGUUUGUCACGUCGGAUGUGAAAACCUAUGGCUUAACCAUGGGCCUGCAUUCGAUACGGGCAAACUAGAGUUCGGUAGGGGAGACUGGAAUUCCUGGUGUAGCGGUGAAAUGCGCAGAUAUCAGGAGGAACACCGGUGGCGAAGGCGGGUCUCUGGGCAGUAACUGACGCUGAGGAGCGAAAGCGUGGGUAGCAAACAGG